rfam:Gossypium raimondii Chr11_contig_998, whole genome shotgun sequence.
AACCAACGGUGAGGGCACCGUCUUAAUAAGCUCUUAUACCUCUCCCAUGCAUCAUAUAAAGUCUUUAAAUCGAUCUACACAAAGGAGGAGAUACUAUUCCUCAACUU